rnacentral:rRNA from 1 species
AUAUGGUCGACCUGCAGGCGGCCGCGAAUUCACUAGUGAUUAGAGUUUGAUCAUGGCUCAGAACGAACGCUGGCGGCAUGCCUAACACAUGCAAGUCGAACGAACCCUUCGGGGUUAGUGGCGCACGGGUGCGUAACGCGUGGGAAUCUGCCCUUGGCUUCGGAAUAACAGUUAGAAAUGACUGCUAAUACCGGAUGAUGUCUUCGGACCAAAGAUUUAUCGGCCAGGGAUGAGCCCGCGUAGGAUUAGGUAGUUGGUGGGGUAAAGGCCUACCAAGCCGACGAUCCUUAGCUGGUCUGAGAGGAUGAUCAGCCACACUGGGACUGAGACACGGCCCAGACUCCUACGGGAGGCAGCAGUGGGGAAUAUUGGACAAUGGGCGCAAGCCUGAUCCAGCAAUGCCGCGUGAGUGAUGAAGGCCUUAGGGUCGUAAAGCUCUUUUACCCGGGAUGAUAAUGACAGUACCGGGAGAAUAAGC